GACGAACGCUGGUGGCGUGCUUAACACAUGCAAGUCGAACGGGAUUUAGUAAACAGAAGCCUCGGUGGAAGAUUACUAAUGAGAGUGGCGAACGGGUGAGUAACGCGUGAGCAACCUGCCUAUGACAGUGGGAUAGCCUCGGGAAACCGGGAUUAAUACCGCAUAAAAUCGUAGAAACACAUGUUUUAACGGUCAAAGAUUUAUCGGUCAUAGAUGGGCUCGCGUCUGAUUAGCUAGUUGGUGAGAUAGCAGCCCACCAAGGCGACGAUCAGUAGCCGGUCUGAGAGGAUGAACGGCCACAUUGGAACUGAGACACGGUCCAAACUCCUACGGGAGGCAGCAGUGGGGAAUAUUGCACAAUGGGGGAAACCCUGAUGCAGCGACGCCGCGUGAACGAAGAAGGUAUUCGUAUCGUAAAGUUCUGUCCUAUGGGAAGAUAAUGACAGUACCAUAGAAGAAAGCUCCGGCUAAAUACGUG
rnacentral:rRNA from 1 species